UCGGCCCCGGUUCACGCUCGUCGCAACCCGCGGAAGCGACCCGGAGCC
rnacentral:ncRNA from 1 species